AUUUUUACCUAUUAUUCUCCAUCACUGGAAGCUUUUAGAUAUUCAAUCAUAAAAUUCGAACUUCUUAUUACAUUGUGUUUCUUAAUUUGUAUUCAAAUUUCUCAUAACCGUAAGCUGCAUAAUCUUAACAAGUCGCCGGCAUAUACAAUUCUUCAUGAUCUGAAGCUACGAUAAAGUCCACAGUAAGUCAUUUGUUCUUUUACCCAUUUAAAAUUAAAUAGUUAAACAACAAAACUAUUGAUUAGUUCAUUCUGACUAUAUCAUUUGCGUAUAUAUUGUAUAUAUUAACAAUAUACCC
rnacentral:lncRNA from 1 species